AGAUACAAAUAUUAAUGAGAUCUAUAUUCUUUGUUCAAUCUUCUCUUGCAAUAAUGGUAUGUGAUAUAAUUCUAUUCAUUAAAAUAUAAUUUAUUUUUUAUUAUUAUUAUUCAAUAUUAUAUUCAUUUAUAUGUUAAGAAUUGCAUGUAUGACACUAGGAGAUAGACAACGACGUUCGCAUUCGCAGUCUAUCCUGAAGGCUGAGGCACCUUUAUCGAUUUUCACUAUCGCACCAGCUCCAUCGUUAGAGGGUCCUGCACUAGCAGAUCCGAGUGAGACAGAUCCGAGUGAGGC
rnacentral:lncRNA from 1 species